UCCCCGAUAAAUUCGCUUUCAGCACUAAAUCGAAGAAUUGCAAGCAAUUUCAGUCUAUUAUUUCAAGUUUUUUCUUUCGGCGGAAACCAUUUUAACUUUUCUUUUGGGGUUAAAUCCAGAUAAGGAAUCACGAGAUUGCGAUCGGGGAGCUAGACAGUCUCUCGGCCUCCCGUGCUGUAUAUCACAAAAUCGGCAAUAUUUACUUCCGCAGGAGCAUUGAGGAUGCAAAAGCAUUGGAGGAAAAGAAACUUGUGGCAAGCAAGGCUCGGUUACAGAAGCUUGAUGCAGCAGAAUUAGGUAAGAGAAUUAGAUGAUUUUUUUCCCCUGAAUGUUGAAUAGUGUUUAUAGUGUAAGAUGAAUGUGAUGGGAAGAACAUAAUGCAUGAGAAUUGGUGUGAUUUAGGGAGAAUAAAAGCAU